rnacentral:rRNA from 1 species
AGAAAGACCCUAUGAAGCUUUACUAUUAAUAGAUAUUGAAAAUAUAUAUAUAUAACAUAGAAUAAAUGGGAAGUAGUAAUAUUAUUUUUUUGGAAAUAAUGUAAUUGUUAAUGAAAUACCAUUUUAUAUAUAUAUAAAUUCUUAUAAAAUUUUUAUAACAAAAUUUUUAACAAUAUUUAUAAGAUAGUUUGACUGGGGCGGUCUCCUCCUAUAUAAAAACGGAGGUGUACAAUGUUAUAUUUAUUAUAUAAAGAUAAAUAUAUAAUUAACUGUAAAAUUUACAAAUUAAACAGAGAUUAAUGUCGGUCUUAAUGAUCCGAUAAUUAUUUAAUAAUAAAAUUAUCGCUUAACGGAUAAAAGUUACUCUAGGGAUAACAGGCUAAUCUUUUCCGAGAGUCCAUAUUGACGAAAAGGUUUGGCACCUCGAUGUCGGCUUAUCGCAUCCUAAGGCAGUAGUAUGUUUUAAGGGUAAGUCUGUUCGCCUAUUAAAGCGAUACGUGAGCUGGGUUCAGAACGUCGUGAGACAGUUCGGUCCAUAUCUAAUAUAAGUGUUAGAAUAUUGAAAUUAUUUUUUCUAGUACGAGAGGAUCGAAAAAAUUAUACCAAUGAUAUAUCAAUUAUUAUAUUUUGUAAUGUUGAGUAGUUAAGUAUAAAAUUUUAAUUGUUGAAGUAAUAUAAAUAAGAAAAUUUAAUUAAAAAUAAUAUUCUAAUCAUAUAAAUGAAUAAAACAAUAAUUAGAAAAAUUAUUUUAUAGAAUUAAUAUGUAUUUAUAGUAAUAUAUUUUGUGUAUAAUUCCUAAUAAGUUGAAUAUUUAAUUAU